AGCGGACGCUGGCGGCAGGCCUAACACAUGCAAGUCGAACGAACUCUUCGGAGUUAGUGGCGGACGGGUGAGUAACACGUGGUAACGUGCCUUUAGGUUCGGAAUAACUCAGGUAAACUUGUGCUAAUACCGAAUGUGCCCUUCGGGGGUAAGAUUUAUCGCCUUUAGAGCGGCCCGCGUCUGUUUAGAUUGUUGGUGAGGUAAAGGCUCACCAAGGCGACGAUCAGUAGCUGGUCUGUGAGGAUGAUCAGCCACAUUGGGACUGAGACACGGCCCAAACUACUACGGGAGGCAGGAGUGGGGAAUGUUGAGAAAGGGGGGAAAGCAUGACGGAGCCAUGAGGGGUGAAUGAUGAAGGUGUUAGGAUAGUAAAAUUCUUUAAACGGGGAAGAUAAUGACGGUACCCGGAGAAGAAGCCCCGGCUAACUACGUG
rnacentral:rRNA from 1 species